GGCAGUUAGUACACAGCCAGCACCAGGUGAGGUGGUGGAGGGUGGCAGUUAGUACACAGCCAGCACCAGGUGAGGUGGCGGAGGGUGGCAGUUAGUACACAGCCAGCACCAGGUGAGGAGGUGGAGGGUGGCAGUUAGUACACAGCAACUCCUGAGAGCAGGUCAGGGAGGUAACCAGGACUGCAGGCUCCUUCCCACCUGGGUGUUUCUUUGACAGAAGCCUCUUCAAGUCAGACCAAGCCAGACCGCUGCCCCGCCACAGCAGUCAAGCUCGGUGCCUACCUGCAGGUGAAGGGAUCGCAGAAAUGGUGCAGACAACGAAACAAUGAAAACAAACAAAAACAAGGGAACGUUUGGCCAUGUCUAGAAACAUUUCUGACUGUCACACGCGGGCCGGGAGGAGGCAGCACUAUCGAUAUCUAGUCCAGAGAGACCAGUGAUGCUAAAACACUGUCCGAUGCACAGGCCAGGCCCCCACAGCGAAGAGUUAUCCAGCCCCAAAAUGUCGACAGUGCCGAGGCUGAGCAACCCUGACUUAUGUGACCUUCCAAACGAGGAAAACCACCGUGAAGAAAGGCCCUGCCUGCCUGGGCUGAGGGAGGGGACAAGGGGACACUGUGGAGUCACGGAGGUGUUCUGUACCACGUCUGUGGUGGGGCUCACCACUGCACCACCUGUCGAAACGCACCAGAUGGCACACCUUAAACCGGACAUUGUAGGAAAUGCCAAAGGCCAUGAGAGAGAGGAGGAGAGACAAGGAUCACAGCAGAGGAGCCAUGCCCACAGGCCCCAGCAAGGCUCAGAAAUAUGCCCCGAGGCUGCCUGGGAACUUACCAACUAAUUCCUGCGGAUCCCGCUUUUCUACUUCUGGGUUAUCCUGCAAAGACAAACAGAAACACAAGGAGGUAAGCCUGGCUCCAGCCCACAGCUGCUGUACGCAGAGACCGCUCAGGAUAAUCGAGGAAGGAAAGAAGGUGAAGGCAUCCCAAGAGUGAGCGAUGCUUGGGGGGAGGGGCUUUGGGGAUCCCUGACCCCCCUUCUUCCUUCAUCAGAGCAGCUGGGAUGCUCCAGUCUCUCCUCACGGCCUCCAGCAGGGCCAAUACCACCACGACGGAGAACAAACGCCAGCCAGUGUCACCCGCACACCUGGACCCUCCCGAUGCUGUCCCCUGGCCAGUCACCCCAGAACACAGUCACCCCAACCUGGUACUGAGGAAGCAAGAGGGGGCUACUUUACAACAUGAAAUACCAACACUAAACACAAAAGACUACUCAGAAGAGAUUUUUUCUAACUUUUAGUUUAAGCAAAAAAGGGGAGACUUCAUCACAGGGGGCAGCCCAUGGACCCGGAGCAGGCCCGGACGGCCUUUGAUCACAGUGACUAACCGGAGGCGCUUCUCCUGGCUCUCUCUGCUCCCCUUUUGCUCUUUCCCGUCGGCUUUAUAUUCCCGCUAAAGAAAGCUCUCUGAUCCUUCAUGCAAACUACUGCCCCCACACCGACUUCCAUGGCCCUGGUUCUAGGCGAGCGCAGAACCCUAAGAGCGAAGGUCCCUGAGCAGAGGUGUCCUAGCCUUGCUGCGCAUUUCCCGCCGAGUCGGGGCUUCCCCUCCCUGGGUCUACCUGGCGAAGGAAGGGCCCAGCCGCGUCACAAGCCCAGCGGGGAGGGAGGCCUUCCCUGGCUGCGCUGUCCCAAAUGUCCACCGCAGGGACCCUCCUCUCUCCAUUUCUGGGGAAACUCAGCCCCUUGAACAGUUAGAAACUCAGCCCUCAAGUGCCACCACACGCUAACGUGGCGGACGCUGGGCUCCCAGGAAGUUGCUGGACCCCAUUUCCGUUCGCUCCGGUCGGGGAGGGAGGAGAUAAGACAGCAGGGCUCUGGGCAAGGCUGGCACGUGGAAACAGCAGCAGAGCUCUGCACUCCACUCAUGAGGAAAUCUCACACCAAGAUACCGUGUCAGAAAGUGGGGUGCGAGAAGGCCACCUCACCUCCCACGCCGUGGUCCCACGCUAAAGCCAGACUAGAAGACCUCAGCCCCUUCCCCCAAAAGUCCCUCCUGAGUGUGGGACAGGCCCAAACCCUCCCACUCCCCUGAACACUGCGGCUGUUCACUGGACCGGCACCAUGUCCGGACCAGGCUGCUUAGCAACCUGUUUCUCUCUCUACCCCUCACCCCUGCCAAUCAGGUGGGCAAAGAGGAACGCGGCCUGUGCUGGGACCGAGCGGGUCGGAGGCGUGCCUGGAGGACUGCCAUGCCUAAUCCAGGCUGGUCAUCCAUCAGCUGCUCCACAACAACCCCUUUGUGGCAGGGACUCCGGGGCAACAAAUGUUAGAGAGCGUGACAGUAACGAAAUGGGGGAGAGGCUCUUAAAUUUCCCUGUAGGGGACAGCCUUCUGGGUGCUCAUUGUGGGAAAACAUCAGCUCGGUCCAUCCCACCUCUUCCCCGGGGCCAGCGGGCUGGUCACAGGAGUACUGACCCGCUGGCCAUUCAAAGGCCGCCUGGGGGCUCUUUCCAAAGCCCCAAAUGCAGAGCCCAGGAAGGAGGCAAGCUGUCCGGUGGGAACUGUUGGAAUUCUGGGUGUCUCCUCCAGAGGCACAGGAAGCCAGGCACCAAACAGGUGCGUCUCUUCAAAGGGGAUUGGUUACUCUGGAGGCUCCUGGGCAGGUGAAAGGCCCUGAGCCGCCCUGGGGCUUCUUGUAGGUUUGCGAUCCGGAGCAAUGGGAGGCGGGAGGCUGGGAAUCCCUGUAUUUCACAAGGUCCUCGCCUGGCUUAGCUGAGGCGGCUUCGUCUUUCCUUUUGUGGCUUGGCUCCCCAUCCCCCCAAAUUAAUCACUCUGCUCCCACAAAAUAAAAACAGCUGGUUCGAUUUGC